UACGUAGGGUGCGAGCGUUGUCCGGAAUUAUUGGGCGUAAAGGGCUCGUAGGCGGUUUGUCGCGUCGGGAGUGAAAACCCAGGGCUUAACCCUGGGCUGGCUUCCGAUACGGGCAGACUAGAGGUAUGCAGGGGAGAACGGAAUUCCUGGUGUAGCGGUGAAAUGCGCAGAUAUCAGGAGGAACACCGGUGGCGAAGGCGGUGUUCUGGGCCAGUAUUGACGCUGAGGCGCGAAAGCGUGGGGAGCGAACAGG
rnacentral:rRNA from 1 species